AUGUUUUUUUACCUCUGGAGUCUCGUUGACAAUAAUUAGGGAGAACGUCGCGAUUGCUCAAGUAUAAACAGGCUUAACUGUUGGUGUAUAACUUCACUUUUCUUAGCGCAAACCCAGGCCGAGAAUAACAUUGUGGGGGUAGCCAACUUGUUUGUCCCACCCAGUACAGCCCAGAUAUCGCCUUUAUCGUCGUUUUCGAGAAAACCGUCACAAUUCAAAAUUUCUUAAUUUUCGGUUUUUCGAACCAAUAUUAUUAAAAAACCGUCCUAUUUUACCAGCAAAACCGACACAAAUUAAUUUUGAAUAAUAGCUGCUAGAUCCACUAGGAUCAUUCGACACUUCUCGGCAUUCGCCCGCCAAUAGUGUGGAAGACCGUACCAAUCUACCAAUUCAGUCGCGUCGUGACAUUUGUGCAGGUAAUACCGUACAUUUUCGUAAAAUAUUGUCACAACUCAAAAAGUGUCGAAACCAUUUUACAUUUUGUGAUAUUUUCUACAGUAAAAACGUCGCAAAACGAAAAGUGACUAUAAUAUAUUUCAAUAUAUUCGAGGAAAAUUGUGAUAUUUCGAUUUGUGUCGUUUUAGUCCGAAAAAGUUCUCUAGCUUUUCCACAAUGUCAAAAAGGGAGUACAAUUAACGAAAAAAAAUUUAGAGCCCAUGUUGAAAAUUAAUCGAUACCUUAGCGAUUCAAGUACCCAUUCAGAUCAUGAUUAUCGGAUUAUAAAUGCCUCCUCCUUCUACUAUACAUCCAAGUUAAAUGUAUACAAUUUGACUUUAGUCAGCUCUACAAAAAAUGAUGUUGUGUGUUAUGUUUGGCAUGAGGGUGAGGCAAAUGGAGGGGCUAACGAAUUGGCUCAUGCGUCUGGAACUAUCUUAAUGGACUAAAGGAAAAGGCAUUCCUUGAAAAAAAUUAAAUGAUUGACGUAACAUUUUAUACAGACAAUUGCAAUAAAAAUAAAUUUUUAUUUGCAUUUUACCUGUACGCUGUAUCAGUACUGCCGCAUAUUAGUUCAAUAACUCAUAAGUACCUAAUUAGGGGACAUACCCAAAAUGAUGCUGAUAACAUACACUCAGUGACUGAAAAACAAAUUGUGAGAUAUAAAAAGUCCGCAGCUAUCUACGCACCUGAUCAGUACGUGACAUUAAUAAGGCAAGGCAAAAAACCGGGCAACCCUAUGUAGUUAAAGAAAUGAGUCAUGACGAUUUCCACGAUCUAAAAGAUUUAUCGAAGCAAAUGGGUGUAAAAGAAUUAUACAAAAAUGAAAAUGGCGAUCUGGUAAAAACUUCCGACAUCAAACUUUGUGAAGUACGUAAAAAUGAAAUUGGAUACUUUUUUUAUAAGACUUCGUACAAAGAUGCGUCAUAUUUUCGUGUAAAUAUGUUUUCUAGACGAUCGUCUACUGAUUUUAAUGAGAUAGAACUGAAACAUGCCUUCAAUAAAAAAACUGGAAUUCCGGAGGCUAAGAAAAAAGGUAUACUUUCAUUGAUCGCAAAAAAUGUUGUGCCACGUUUUUAUUAUGAAUUUUAUAAUAAUCUUUAGUUGCGAUAGAUGAUCAAAUAAACCAUGACUAUUUUGUAUCAUCAAUAAAUUUCAAAAUUUUUGUUUUUUUCUACUUUUUUUCUGUUAAAUUUGUUGAUUUAAAACCUAAAGUAGAUGUAUUUUAAGUUAAGUUACUUUCAUUAUUAGUCUUCGCCUAUUACUAUUUGUAAAAUUACUACAUAAGUUUAUAUAAAUAGAAAUAAAUUGCCCUUUGAUGUUUCA